AUCCCUAAGCAGUUGGUUAUCUUCCUAACUCCGUAGACUUGCACUCUGGGCACUUCACAUGUACAGUGUGUGCUAGUGAUCUUUCUGUCUUGGGAUAACUGACCAAGGAAAGUUUUAUUUUGGGUCACAGCUUUAGAUGUUCCAGCCCAUGAUCAGUGGAGUGGGCUCCAUUGCCUUGGCUGAGGUAGCACAUUAUGGUAGAAAUGAUUUUGCUCAUCACAUCAUGGAUGGGAAGAGGAAGUCCAUAGUGUCAUUUCCACAGUGACUGAAGACCUUCCAGUAGGUCCAACCUCAUAAAUGCAUCACCACCUCCCAGAAGAACUAUUGUUAAUGUUAUCUGAACUGUUGCCUCAGACCCGACUGAAAUGCAGAUGAAAUCCCCCUGGGCCUGAGAAGAGGAAGGGAAGCACACAGAGGAGGCACUGCAAACCCAUGGAGCAGGAAGCAUCUGAAGAGGAAAACCCUCUGAAGCACAGCUUUACCCAAAGAAGUGUUAAUAAUCGGAAAGAUAGAACCUAGCAAGUGGAGCUUUCAGAUAAUUGGCAGUUACAUUUGUCCCCCAGGUGUUAUCUCGGAUCCACGAAUAGAAAACACACACACACCAAUUAUUCUUAAAACAUCUUUGCUAACUCAAUGGCUGGCCACUCUUAAUUCUUCCCCUGCUAUCCCAGGCCCCGUUGGGGAUGUGGCCAGAGGCAGGCCCAUCUAGAUGCCUUACUGGUGUGGAGAACUCUGUGCUACCUGAGUUGUGAUCACUACCCUCACGUGGGGUUUGUGGUCACAUAUACCGGGACAGGAAUCGGGUCGGGAGUAAAUGAAACUCCUACCGUUCUCAAAUUCUCAGAUUGGGUUUCUGAAUCCGCUCAACCUCAGUUUUUGUCUGGUGACACACAGUACCAAUUGCUGGAAGUGUGUAGUCCCAAACAGGGUAACAUUGAUAACAUCCAAGUGAUGGUAGAAGGGCAGCUCUUUUCUCAAAGACAACAUCAGGUAGUUUAUCAUGAACCAGCAUAAGUAAACAGGGCCUGGAAUGCCCACAAUAAGAAAAAUGUUUGCCUAACUAAUGAAGUUAGUGCCUACUUGUAUACAUGUGCAUGUAUUAUGAAAUUUCCAAUAACUAGCUUCUUCCGGAAAAUUGUAGAGCAUUGUGAAGUAAAUGCCUUUUAGCAGAUAAA
rnacentral:lncRNA from 1 species